GUCGUUGUAGAAUAAUGGUGAGUAUCCCCGCCUGUUACGCGGGAGACCUGGGUUUCAUCCCCGGCAACGGUG
rfam:Ipomoea nil DNA, scaffold: scaffold3056, cultivar: Tokyo-kokei standard.